rnacentral:rRNA from 1 species
UACGUAGGGACCGAGCGUUGUCCGGAAUCAUUGGGCGUAAAGAGCGUGUAGGCGGCCCCUUAAGUCCUGCGUGAAAUCCUGCGGCUCAACCGCAGACGGUCGUGGGAAACUGGAGGGCUAGAGUGCGGGAGAGGAGAGUGGAAUUCCCGGUGUAGCGGUGAAAUGCGCAGAUAUCGGGAAGAACACCCGUGGCGAAGGCGGUUCUCUGGGACGGUACUGACGCUGAGACGCGAAAGCGUGGGGAGCGAACAGG